UUACUAAUGUCAUAAACAUGAUCUAAGACUAAAUUUAGGGGAAACAAUGCAAUCACUUUGGCAGUAGGUUUAUUCUUUGGAUAUAAUCAUUUCUCAAACUUAUGCUUUAUUAUUUUUGAACUGUUCUAAAGUUCAUGAGAAAGACUCAGUUGAAAUAAAAAUGCUGAUAAUCCAAAGUAAAAAAAAAAAUUUAUAGUAGCUCUUUUGGUUCUUCAAGUACAGUAUCCCAUGUAAUAGAUACUGUAGACUUUUGUCCUAUAGACUUAAGUAGGCAUGGCAGCUUUCAGUCAAGAGAGUAAGUACAGGAACAUUAAGUUACUACUGUACCU